rnacentral:misc_RNA from 1 species
GACGAGGGGUCCAAACGUUGCUCGGAAUCAUUGGGCGUAAAGCGGGUGUCGGCGGCAUAGAAAGUCAGAAGUGAAAGUCCUGGGCUCAACCCAGGAAGUGCUUUUGAAACUUCUAAGCUUGAGUAUGGGAGAGGGAAGUAGAAUUCCUGGUGUAGUGGUGAAAUACGUAGAUAUCAGGAGGAAUACCGGAGGCGAAGGCGGCUUCCUGGCCCAAUACUGACGCUCAGACCCGAAAGCGUGGGUAGCAAACAGG